UUCUGGCAGCACAUUCUCCCAUGAAAAAAAAUCCAGCAAACCCAACUGGUUGUCAUCCUGUUCUCUUAUUACAUCAUUUAAAACCAGGAAUACAGUACACUGAAGCUAGGCUGGAACACAUACAUCCAGAUGAGAGAUUUACGAUGUCAGUAACUGUUGAUGGGAAGACUUACAGUGGUGUGGGUAAAACCAAAAAGGAGGCAAAGAAAGCAGCAGCUAUUGCAUGUCUUGCUGGAUCAUUCAAGAUAUGCUACUAACUCAUUCUGACAGUAAACAAUACUGUUCGGACAUAAUGCAUUUCUCACAUACAAUUUCUGAUCUGUAGUAAAGACUUGGUUAUAUCUGUAGUAAUAUUGACUUUGAAACCUGUUGCCAACAAUCACUGAAGUCUUAAGGCAGUAUAAUUAGCGGCUAUUCACUUUCACUUCAUCUAUUAAUGACAGUAUACCAUUGUUGGCCAGGGUAUAAGUAAGUAAUUUCUUGUCUGAUAGUAAGAGAUCACAUAUUAUAACAUUGUCUGCAAUACAUGAAAGAUUUGUUUAUGGUUUUCCUCAGUAUUGCACAUUCGUGUGUAGGCUGGUCUUUUACAUGAAGUCUUCACUACUUAUGACAAACCUUAAGCUAUGUUCUUAACUGUAGAUGAGCUACAGCUGUAUUUCCUUUCUAUGAAUUAAAGUAUAUCCUGUGUAUUAAUGUGACUGCUGCAUUAUGUACAUGAAAUACCAAAUGUAUCUUCCAAACGAGAGAUACAGAAACAAAUUGUUAUGUGCGAUUAAAUAAUAAAAUAUCCUUGAACACUG